rnacentral:rRNA from 1 species
CCUACGGGAGGCUGCCGUGAGGAAUAUUGGUCAAUGGACGAGAGUCUGAACCAGCCAAGUAGCGUGAAGGAUGACUGCCCUAUGGGUUGUAAACUUCUUUUAUAUGGGAAUAAAACAGGGUAUGCAUACCCUCUUGUAUGUACCAUAUGAAUAAGGAUCGGCUAACUCCGUGCAAGCAGCCGCGGUAAUACGGAGGAUCCGAGCGUUAUACGGAUUUAUUGGGUUUAAAGGGAGCGUAGGUGGAUUGUUAAGUAAGUUGUGAAAGUUUGCGGCUCAACCGUAAAAUUGCAGUUGAAACUGGCAGUCUUGAGUACAGUAGAGGUAAGCGGAAUUCGUGGUGUAGCGGUGAAAUGCUUAGAUAUCGCGAAGAACUCCGAUUGCGAAGGCAGCUCACUGGACUGCAACUGACACUGAUGCUCGAAAGUGUGGGUAUCGAACAGGAUUAGAUACCCGUGUAGUC